CCCGCCCCGCCCGCUGGCUGGCCCGGCCCGCACGAGCGCCAGGAGCCUGGAAGAGCCCCGCGCCGGCACAGCGGACUCCAGCCCGACGGAGCGGCCGCGCCCGGACCAGGCCAGCGGAGGCUACACGUCUGUGAGAUGUGCUGGGAGCCUUUUUCCACGGUGACCCUUGAAAAGGGUGCGAACCUUCACAUCGCUACUUUCCAACAGGUGUCUUCCUUCUGGCGUGCUUCCCGCUGCUCUGCGCGCCCUCUUCAUCCGCACUAACUUGCGGCCAGGAUCGUAGAAGGGCUAGCGGAGGAGGGUCAACCAGAAAGGCGACGCUCCCGAGACCCACAACCAGUGUCAC